UUCAACACCAAAAACAAGCAUGCCACGUAAGCCAGCUUCAUUAACAGACCUUAUACUCUUUCCAGCAGUAAUAGCAUCUUCUCCAGCACAAAAAUGUUCAUAGAAUGUUCUCUUUGUAACUGCCAUAACUGCAUCUUUCAAGAUUCCCGUUUGUAACAAUUUUGAUUGCAUAGCCCAUAUUCCAACGUCCACGACAGGUCCUAUAGCCGUUGCAUGCAGAACGGCUGAGGAUCUUAUCAGCGUGGACGUUGGAACAGCUGAGAAUAAUCUCUCACCGUCGUUUAGGUCAAGAUAAGAUGGUUGUUGGUGUGACGGUUGUGGUGGAGAAGGUUGUUCUCUUUCGAGAAUGGAGGCGACGGUGGCGGUGGCUGAAGGAUGGUAGGAGUUUAAUGGUUUUGUGGUGGUUUUGAAACGGAGAUUCUUGAUGAUUUUUUGUGGGACCACACGAGUUGCCAUUCAAAAACAAGAAAUUUUGAUGUUUUUGAUUUCUUUGACGUUGUUUUUCUUCUUUUUUUUGUGAUGAAACUCUCGACAACCUUCAGGGUUUUUUAUCUUUCAAAGGAACACGUGAUUUUGGUGUUGUUGUUCUAUGUAACGAGGUUAAGGGUGUGGUUGUUUUUAUAGGCAUGAAAAGUUAAUAGGGUUUGGUCAAGCAAUGAAAAGUACAACGCUGCAUGAUGAUGUUGUUGUUCUAAUAACGUGGCUUAAUCUUUUAUCCUUAACAACCUUUUAAUUUUAGUUUUUAAAUUUUAUCCUUAACAACUUUUUAUUUUGAUUUCCCUUUUUAAUAUAGUUUUUUAUGGUUUAGUCGGUGUUUUUUAUUUGUAAUUUCUUUCCGUUUAUAACUGAUUGUAAAUUAAUCUGAUUAACUUUCAACUUUAAUGAGAUAACUAUGAUAAUUUUUAAUAAGGCAAAUAUUAAAAAAAGUAAUUAUGAUAGUUUAACAGUUUAAUUUCUAUUUGAAAAAACAAUUUAAUUACUAUGCAUAGAGGUGUAAAUAAUUAUUUAUUUUCCCUUAAAAAUCAUCAAUUUUAAUUAUUUUUUCAUUUGAAGUGGCAUAUCUUAAUUUGAUAUUUAAUUUAGACAAAAAUAAUCAUAAUCAAUACUAUGUAUGAACGAAAUGAGGGAUUUUGGACAGAUUUUUUUACUAUUUCAAUUAUACCCUUAAUUUUUUUAUAAUAAUGUUAUAUUGUUGUGAUAUUAAAAGAAAUAAUUCCGUAGCAUUUCAAAAACGCCUUGAUUUGUUUUGAUUUUUAACCAAAACGUUUGCAUUUAAUUACCAUUUAUUUUUUUUCAAUUAAGAUUGUAGGGGUAAAAUUGAGCUAAAAAGUGAUAAGCGAAAACAAGCUAUAAACUUGUGUAAAAAUGACAUUUAUUAAAUGGAUUAUUUUUUAUCAGGUAGGUUGUGGCUAGAGCUCACACAUUUUAAAUGUGGAGAAGUAGAAUGUACGGGGUUCAAACUCCAACCCCUACAUAUAUUAUGCAAUUUUCCUACCAACCCAACUGAGUUAUACUCACAUAACUUUUUUAAUCAUGAGAACUUAUAAACAAUAUGUUAUAAACUUAAAAUAAUGUCUUACUAGAUAGACCCUUAAACCCCUUUUUUUUUUUUUCUUAAAAAAAAAACCCUUAAACCCUUUUCUUUUUUCUUAGGAGAAAAAACUUCAAACGCCUAUAAAAAUGCAAAAAAUAUAAUUACUACUACCUCCGGUCCUAUUUAUAAGAGAAAUUUAGGUCAACAAAAGUGAAUGUAUUUGGACUGAAUUUUUAACUAGAUACAUCAACUUUUGUUGACCCAAAAUUCUCUUAUAAAUAGGACCGGAGGGAGUAUAUCGCUAUUUGGAUGGUAACUAGUUGUGUCAUGUUGCUGUGGAUAAACUAUGGCAUGAAAAAAGUUAGUAAAAUGGAGUGAAAAAGAGAGAGCGUAGGUAAAGGAAGAUGAGUAAGAGUGGUAGGUAGGUGCUAAAUUGUAGGGGAGAGUAUGGACAUGAGUUAUAAAAGGUAACAUGAUAGUUUGCAAAUACACGUAGAUAUGACAUAGAUACUUAAAGUAGAGUAUGCAUGUAACAUGUUAUUAAAUUCAAGAUAAUACUGCCAUCAUCUUGAUUCAGUCAAUUCUACAAUUUUAAUUUCAUAUCUUACCAACUAUAACCGCAAUAGAUCCAGGAGAUUCCUUUCUAUUCUAAAAUUAAUGGAUAUUAUAUACUUUUAUCUACGGUUUAUUCGGGUUUGUUUGAAACAAUUCUAAGAAAUUGGUCAGCUAUUUGGAAGCUUAAAUACUUUGGAACUUAGUUUGGAGGAUGUGUCGGGUUGUUUGUCUAGGAGGAUUCGACUUCAUGACAAAGGUGUGAUGUGUCCAACACAUUGCGUUAGUUGUGUUUCUACACACGAUGAUCAACACGAGUCUUUCUCGCGUGUUUUGUCAUCACUUGCACGCUUACUGAGAAUUUUUCGGUAGGUCACCAAUCAUAAGAAUACUCAAAGUCAAGCACGCUUAACUGUGGAGUUCUUAUGAAAUGAGCUACCGAAAAGAAGAUGCAUAUUGUUGAUAUAGGUAGUACCAAACAAUUCUUAUAAGUCUUCCUUCAACCAUGUAGUCUCAUACCUACACGGCCUCAGGAUCCAUCUCAUUCCGAUGUGAUUCGGCUUGUCUAGAAGUUGUCGGGAGCCGCUCAUUGUCAUGCCUUGUGCACCGGCGACCACUCCCCACCCUCGUCAGCCUUGGGUGUUACAUGCCCACCAGCUUCCGCUUAGUUUGUCCCCGAACCACACCGUACUCAGAGAGGUCUGCUCUGAUACCAUUUGUAACAUCUCAGACUGCUUUCAAGAUUGCCGACUGACCCUACAAACCAACACGAGUCUUUCCAGCAUGUUUUGUCAAAGUGCUUAUAAUUUACUUGUUGUAAUUUCUUAUGCGUGACAGAGAAAAUAGGGCCAAGGAAAUUUAUGCAACAAAAUUUGCUUCAAUUGCACCUAAAAUUGUUAGCUGCUUAGUAAGUAACAUUUUUUUAGGUGUUACAUGUAAUACCUUCAAGUGUUACUGAAAUCAUUAAGUAACACGGGAUUUACCUAACAAUUGUCAUAUGUUACAAAAUCUAAAUAGUAACAUUUGUUUUUUAUUUAGUUACACUUUUGAAGUAUUACUAGUGUUACAUGUAAUACCCUUAAGUGUUACUGAAAUCAUUUUGUAACACAGGUUUUACCUAAUAUUUCUCAAAUGUUAUAAGAUCUAAAUAGUGACAUUUGUUUUUUAUUUAGUUACAACUUUAAAGUGUUACUAAAUCUCAUAUAUGUUGUAGUGUAGCAGCACACUUCCAAAUCAUCAAUUUGAAUAGUUCUAACACAAGAUGCACAUUGUUGCUUCCAAAUUAAUUUAAAUUAACCGACAUGAUUAAAAAAAUAGACUAAGAUUUUAUUUUUGUUAAAAAAAAUAGAAUAAGAUUGCUUAACCAAUCAGCUUAAAUAAUUUAGUAUUUUUAUAAUGUGGGGAGGCAGACUUUCCCAAACUUAAUAUGCACAUAAAGCACAAACUAACUUCAAAAUCUGACAUACAUUUCCAACAAAAAUACCAUAAUAAUUCAAAAUUCAUUUCAUUGAAAUUCCAAUUUCAUCAAAUUACAGCAUUCUUUAAUUCUUAAAAAAUUUCAAAAAAAAAUCAUGAUGCUUGCCAAAUUACAAGACAUGAUUUUUAUACUAUUAACAUUGCUAAAGCUCUUAAAAUAUUGCAGCUUUAAGCCUCCUUCCAAGCUCUUUUCUGUACAAAAAAUAAAAUAAAAAUCACUAUGAGAAAAACAUAAAUUAAAUAAUUUUCAUGUCACAAAAUAAUUAAAAGGUUAAGAAAUUAUUUUUAAUUUUGUUACCUUAUGAGUUGCCUAUCAAAUCCAGAAGCAGCCAAAAGGCCUCUAUUUUCUUCAGCUCUUCUCAAUAGAUAAGGCAUAACCAUCUCAACUGGUCCAAAUGGCAUAUACUUGCUUACUCUAAAUCCAGCGUUGCUCAAACCAAAUGAAAGUGCAUCUGACAUUCCACAUAGUUGUGCAAAUUCAAGCUUGUGAUUCACCUUUCCCAUCCCAAUUUCAUAUGCUUUUGCUGCAGCCAAUUUCCCUACACAGCAAAAAAAAAAAUCAAUACAUUUUAGAUACAUUAAUUGAAAUCAUGGUUAUUCUAGUAUUCUUAUUGGUACAUGUAGCAUAUAUAUUUCAGAUUUAAGGUGUGUUGGUUGAUCGAUGUGGGUCAAUGUCUGAUACCGACAUAUGUAGUUACAUUUAUUUACUUAUAUUUUCUUGAAAUAUUUCUAAUGUCUACGUGUCAGUGUCAAUAUCAUAUAUGUUGUCUAUGUAUGUAUCAAUGCUACAUACCAUUCAAUCUAAAGAUUGACACUUCAUAUUAAUGGAUGUCCGGCAUGCGACGACACCAACACAUAUGAUUACAUUUUCUUAAAAUAUUAUCAGUGUUCGACAUGCGACGGCACCGACACAUAUGAUUACAUUUUCUUAAAAUAUGUUCUUUCAGGUGUUCAUGUAUGUGUCGGUGCUUCAUACAUUAGUCUAUAAAGUCUAAAAAAUAUGAAAUUGAAAAGUAAAAAAAACCUAAUGAGUAAAAUAAUCUAAUUAGUACCUGAUUCAAUGUUGUGUGUAGCAAGAACAACAGAUCCUUUUCCAUUAGCAAACUUCUCAAGCAAAUAAGAUGAACAAUCAUUGAAGCAAUUAUGUGUAUCUUCAAUAGUAUCAUGAAUUGGUGACUUAGACCCAAAAGAUUCAGCCAAUGUACUUUCUGUGGACAUAUAAGCACCUCUAACCAAUUUAAAUCCCAUAGGAAUUCCAAUUUCUUCAGCAGCUUUUGUUGCAAGAAACAAUCUCUCCUUAGCAUCUUUCAAAUAAGUUUGAAUUGUUCCAAACACAAUAGGGUUAUCAUCUUUAUUAUGCAUAAUUGCUGAAGAGUAUGUGAAGUAAUCAAUAGCUGGUUGAACAGUAGUGUGUUCAGCAUCAACCAAUAAGGGCAUGUUUGCUUCAACACAUUUUUUACAAAGUUGUUGUAAUCUUUGGUUUGCUAGUUGAAAAUCACUUUCUUCUUGUGGUGUUAAUGGUUCUGGUUUUUUUGUAGUGUGGUAUAAUGGACUUGAUUCAGAGAAAAUUGGUAGAGAAUCUUGUUUCCAUGGUAAAUUGAAUGAAGGGUCUUUUUGUUGCCAUCUUAGAAGAUCACUUAUUCUUUCUAGUAAUGCCAUUGGACAUAUUGCAGUGAUUUUCACAAUCACAAAACUCACCUAUCACAUAAAAAAUAAAUAAAUUAGGAUCGUGUGGGAAAUCGGAUCGCAUAUAGAUGGAAAUUUGGCUCAUUCAUGCGAUCAGUAUAUUCGUUGCAGUUGGAUCAAGUUCUGCAGUGAUAUUUGCAUGGAAUUCUACGUUGAAAUAUAAACUGUUCAAUCUUGAUCCAACAACUACGAAUGUGUUGUUUGCAUGAAUGUGUCAAACCCAAAAAAAAAAAAAAAUAAAUAAAUAGUUUUUUACAUGGUGUACCAAUUUAGUAUAAAACACCUUGAACAUGAAAUAAUUAAAACUCUAGUAAGAAAUGGUAAAAAUCCAAACUACUAAUGAACCCUUUUGUCCAAAUACCAAAAUCUAAUUUCUAAACACUAGUUUCCAAUUUUUAUGUUACAAUGCCAACCACAUUGUACUUAAGCUAGGUGGGAGUGGGACAACAUUAUAUAUAAUAAUAUUAAUACAAACAUUAUGAUGGAAAUGAAAUAAUGAAAACUCUUGUUAGAAAUGGUAAAAAUUCAAACUAGUACUUAAACCAUUUUGUCUAAAACAGUAACAUUAACCGAUCUAAACACUGCUUCCCAAUUUUUUGGUUAACCCUUUAUCCAAAAAUACCAAACUCAAAUUUCUAAACACUGCUUCCCAAUUUUUUGGUUAACCCUUUAUCCAAAAAUACCAAACUCAAAUUUCUAAACACCUAGAUGCCAACAAUAUAUGACUCAAUGUCAUGCCAACCACAUUGUCCUUAAGUUAGGUGGGACCAACAAAAUAUAAUAUGAGACAAAAUUGUUCACUCUGUCACAAGAUUUCAACAAAAAAAGCACAAAAUUUUUACAUGAGAGCAUGACUUGAACUGGCAUAUCAAGGUGAUUACUUGGUGAUAUUGAAACAUGCAAUGUGACACUUGUUGCCAACUCAAUUCAUACUCAUCACAAAAAGUAGCAAUUCAAUUAAACACACGCCUCACAAUAAAAACACACACGUUCACUUUUCAAAGUCAAGGCCCACAACCAUUUAAUUCAUUAAAAAAAUUAUUUAAUGUAAUAAUACUCCCUCCGUCUCAAAUUGUAUGACGUUUUGGCCAUUUCACACGUAUUAAGAAAUGUAAUUAAUAUUGUGUGACAAAAAAAAUUAUGAGUUGUUUUACAAAAUUAUCUCUAAUAAAUGGUAUGGAAAAGAUAAAUGAAAUAAUUGAAAGAAGAGAGAGUAAUUAAUAGUUAAGGAUAUAAUAGGAAAAGUAACAUUAAUAUUUCAUUGGUAUUGUAAAGCGACAUACUCCCUCCGUCCCAAAUUGUAAGACGUUUUGGGCAUUUCACACAUAUUAAGAAAUACAAUUAAUAUUGUGUGGAAAAGGGAUAUUAUGAGUUGUUUUACAAAAUUGUCCUUAAUAAAUAAUAUGGGAAAAAUAAAUGAAAGAAUUGAAAUAAGAGAGUAAUAAAUAGUUAAGGUUAUAAUAGGAAAAGUAACAUUAAAGUUGCAUUGGUAUUGUAAAGCGACAUACAAUUUGGGACGGAGGAAGUAUAAUUUAGGAAAAAAAAUUUCCAAAGCGACAUACAAUUUGGGACGGAGGGAGUACAAAGUAGUUAAUGGCCUUCUAUUUCUAAAAGGGAUUGGAGAAACUUCAUUCACCUAUAGUUUAAAUAUUACAUGUGCUUUAUAUGUUUUUCAAGACAUGCUAAAAUAUCCUUAUUUCCUUUAACUAUUGGGGUGAGUCCACAUAAAAAAUUAAAAAAAGUAAAUAUGAUUAGAGAUCUCUUAUAUUAUUUUUAUUAUUACUAAUCAUAUUUGGUAUUCAUAAAUAAAAAGAUCCUCUUCAAUCUUUAUUUAAAGAAAUUGAAAAAUCUCAUUAUUAUGAGUUUAAUUGUAUAAUUAAUGACUACUUAAUUUUUUUUUUGAAGAAAAUUAAUGACUACUUAAUUAUAUCACUAAUUUUAGAAAUAUUUCACUUAAUAUAUUUUAAAAAGAAUAAUAAAGCUCCCAUUUUUUUUAAAAAAUAUAGAAAAUUCAAACAGAAAAACUAUCUGUUGAAUGUAUAUGAUGAUUGAAUUCUAUUUCCACGCUACAUUAUACGACCAAAUUAAUUUGACCAAAACCUCUUCUCUUUAAAUAAAAACAAACAAAUCUUUAAUUAAUCUAAACAGAUCUUAACCAAUUUAUUUUACCAUGAUGAUAAAAAUUAAUCAAAAAAAUAAAUCAAGAUAAAAUUAGAAACUUACAGAAGAAGGAGGAAGUGAUUUGCUAACAUCAACAGUAUGAAGAAACCCUUUAAGAUUACGAUCACAACCAUCAUUCUCAUGUGCAUCUUCAACACCAAAAACAAGCAUGCCACGUAAGCCAGCUUCAUUAACAGACCUUAUACUCUUUCCAGCAGUAAUAGCAUCUUCUCCAGCACAAAAAUGUUCAUAGAAUGUUCUCUUUGUAACUGCCAUAACUGCAUCUUUCAAGAUUCCCGUUUGUAACAAUUUUGAUUGCAUAGCCCAUAUUCCAACGUCCACGACAGGUCCUAUAGCCGUUGCAUGCAGAACGGCUGAGGAUCUUAUCAGCGUGGACGUUGGAACAGCUGAGAAUAAUCUCUCACCGUCGUUUAGGUCAAGAUAAGAUGGUUGUUGGUGUGACGGUUGUGGUGGAGAAGGUUGUUCUCUUUCAAUAAGGGAAGCGACGGCGGCGGUGGCCGAAGGAUGGGAGGAGUUUAAUGGUUUUGUGGUGGUUUUGAAACGGAGAUUCUUGAUGAUCUUUUGUGGGACCACACGAGUUGCCAUUCAAUAACAAGAAAAUUUGAGAUUUGAGAUUCUUGAUGAUGUUUUUGAUUUCUUUGACGUUGUUUUUCUUCUUUUUUGUGAUGAAAACUCUCGACAACACUUUAGUUUUUUUUUUAUCUUUCAAAGGAACACGUGAUUUUGGUGUUGUUGUUCUAUGUAACGAGGUUGUUUUUAUAGGCAUGAAAAGUUAAUAGGGUUUGGUCAAGCAUUGAAAAGUACAACACUGCAUGAUGAUGUUGUGUGAGAUAAGAUUAAACUCUCUAAUUACGUGGCCUAAUCUUUUAUCCUUAACAACUUUUUAGUUUUUAAUUUUGACUUAUCUUAUUCUUAAAAUAGUUUUUUUUGGUUUAGUUGGUGUUUUUAAUUUGUAAUUUCUUUCAGUUUAUAACUGAUUGUAAAAUAAUCUAAUUAACUUUCAACUUUGAUUAGGAUGACAAUUAGACCCAGACCCGAUGGUAAAACCCCGCUUUCAUGGAUAUGGGCAUGGAUCCGGGUAAUUACCCGCAACUUAAAAGGAUACAGGCACGGGUAUGGGCACUAUACUACCCAGCCCCGCAACCCGCAUAUAUGAUUUUAUAUAAUAUAAUAAAUAAUUUAUAUAUUAAUUAAUUAAUUAAUUAAUUUAUCUAACUAUUUAAGCUUAGAAUGAAACCUAAAAAUUGCUUAUUACAAUAAUCUAAACCUAGCCUCUUGUUGCAUUGAAUAGGGAUGGCAAUGGGUACCCAAUGGGUAGGGUACUAUAGUGCCCAUCCCCAUACCCACAUUUGUAAGAAAUAUCCAUACCCGUGCUCGUACCCUCGUGGGCAACAACUUUAGUGCCAUUCCCCAUACCCUAUGGGUACCUAAGUGCCCAUACCCGCACCUAUUACCCACACUUUAGCUAUGAAAAAGGAAUAAAAACAUCACAAUUGAAAUAAAACUAUGAUCCAAUAAAAAAACAUCUAAAUUAAAAUAUCCCUAAACAAUUGUACAUCGGCAAGAUGAAGUUAUUGUAUUAAAUAGUUUUUUUUAUUUAGGUUUGAGUUUAGGCUUAAAUAGCUAAAUUAAUUAAUUAAUUAUACACCAAAAAUAAAUAAUUAUUUAAAAUAUUAUAUAAAUAUGUAUAUGCGGGGUUGUGGGGCUGGGUAGUAUAAUACCCUUACCCGUGCCCAUACCCAUAACAAUUUGUGGGUAUUACCCAGACCCAUGUCCAUACCCAUGAAAGCGGGGUUUUACCCUACCCAUUGUGGGUUUUUUUUGCGGGUAUCCAUUGGGUCUGGAUCCAAUUGUCAUCCCUAGCGUUGAAUCUCUACCGCCUGCCUGCCUUUCAUUGCUUUUUGUUAUCCAUCUCUUAUGCUUCUAGGUAACUAUUUCUUGAAUCUCAUAUUUCUAAAGGGAUGUCAAUUGGACCCAGACCUGAUGGGUACCGCAAAAUACUACGAUUCAUACUUUUUUUUAUUUGGUUAAAUACUACCAUUCAUACUAUUUUAUGAGUUGAUUUGAAAUUUUCUGGAUCAUAAUUGUAUUUCAGUUGUGGUGCUUUUUUAUUGUCUUUUCAGUAUUAAACUGCGGGUAAUUGGUGCGGGUAUGAGCUCUUAGGUGCCCAUAGGGUAUGGGGAAGGGCACUAAAGUUGUUGCCCACGAGGGUAUGGGCCCGAAUACGUGUAUUUUUUACAAACGCGGGUAUGGAGAUGAGUAUUAUAAUUCCCUGCCCAUUAGGUACCCAUUGCCAUCCCUAACUUUGAUGAGGUAAUUAACUUUCAACUUUAAUGAGAUAACUAUGAUGAUUUUUAAUAUGGUAACUAUUAAAAAAGUAAUUAUGAUAGUUUGACAGUUUAAUUUCUAUUUAAAACAACAAUUUAUUUUCCCUUAAAAAACAUCAAUUUUAAUUAUUUUUUCUUUUGAAGUCGCAUAUCUAAAUUGAUAUUUUAGACAAAAACAAUCAUAAUAUUUAUCAAUACUAUGUAUAAACGAAAUGAGGGAUUUUGGACAGAUUUUUUACUAUUUCAAUUAUACCCUUAAAAAAUGUUCUAUAAUAAUGUUAUAUUAUUGUGUCAUUAAAUGAAAUAAUUUUGUAGCAUUUCGAAGACACGUUGAUUUGUUUUGAUUUUUCAACCAAAAGGUAUGCAUUUAAAUACCUUUUUUUUUUUUCUUUCAAUUAAGAUUGUAGGGGUAAAAUUGAGCUAAAAAGUGAUAAGCGAAAAUAAGUUAAAAAAUGAUUUUUUUUUUUUUUUGUCAAAUGGCCUAGUGGCUAGAACUCACAUUUUAAAUGUGGAGUAGUAGAGUGUACGGGGUUCAAACUUCAACCCUUACAUAUAUUAUACAAUUUUCCUACCAACCCAACUGUGUUAUGCUCACAUAACUUUUUUAAUCAUGGAAACUUAUAAACUAUAUGUUAUUAUAAACUUAAAUUAAUUAUAUCUUACUAGAUAGACCCUUAAACCCCCUUUUUUUCUUAAAAAAAAACCUAAACCCUUUUCUUUUUUCUUAGGGGAAAACUUCAAACGCUUAUAAAAAUGCAAAAAAAAAAAAAAAAAAAUUACUAUAUCGCUAUUUGGAUGGUAACUAGUUAUGUCAUGUUGCAAUGGAUAAUAUGGCAAGAUAAAAGUUAGUAAAAUGAAGUGAAAAGGAGAAAGCGUAGGUAAAGGAAGAUGAGUAAGUAAGAGUGGUAGGUGCUAAAUUGUAGGGAAGAGUAUGGACAUGAAUUAUAAAAGGUAACAUGAUAGUUUGCAAAUACACGUAGAUAUGACAUGGAUACUUAAAUUAGAGUAUGCAUGUAACAUGUUAUUAAAUUCAAGAUCAUAUUGCCAUCAUCUUGAUUAAGUCAAUUCUACAAUAUUAAUAUGUUCAUAUCUUACCAACUAUAACCGCAAUAGAUCUCGGAGGUUCCUUUCAUUCUAAAAUUAAUGGAUAUUAUAUAUUGUUAUCUACGGUUUAUUCGGUUUGUUUGAAUCAAUUCUAAGAUAUUGGUCAGUUAUUUGGAAGCUUAAAUACUUUGGAACUUAGUUUGGAGGAUGUGCCGGGUUGUUUAUCUACGAGGAUUCGACAUCAUGACAAAGGUGUGAUGUGUCUAACACAUUGCGUUAGUUGUGUUUCCACACACGAUGAUCUGGCACAUUUAUUCCCUGCUUGUCCUUUUGCUAUCCUAGUAUGGCGUUUGUCGGGGCUUUGGUCCCAAAUUCAUCAUACAUUUUUUACUGUUGCUGUUGUUUCUGCUGUAGAUACUAUUUUUGUAUUGGUCGAGAUGUUUCCACUGAACAGAAAAAAUUAUAUGCUGCCAUUUUGUGGAGCCUUUGGAAACAUAGGAAUUUAAAGGUUUAGGAGGAUGUGACAGAAGUUGCCGUUGCGGUUGUUGAUCGUGCGUGUGUGAAGAUACGGAUUGGCUGCCUGCAAACACUCAUACCCCCGCUGUGCGCACAGCUGCUACAUCACUCCACUUUUGGAUGUGCAUUCCAAUUCUGCAGAAGCUAGCUCUUCAGCUGUUCCAAUAUUAUUACAUAAUACAAAAUCUGAAGAAACAAAGCAUGAAGAAAAUGCAGUACAAGCUACUUAAAAUGUAGUACAAUAGCUUAAGUAUAGUAGUACAUUCACAUAUAAGAUAGUACAAUUCAUUUGUAUAAAUAACUGGAUGUACAGUACUCUUUUCAAUCUUCAAUGAAUCAGUUUUUUAUCUUUCUUUGAUUCUUAAUAUGGUAUCAGUUUUCUCUCUCUUCUUGAGAGAGUUAGUUACGAUCUAGAUCUAGCUUCCGCCAUUGAUGAUUCCUCUUCUAGCUUCAUCAAACUUCUUUUUUUACUUGAUUUUUCCUUGAAUCUUCGUGAUUCUUCUUCAUAUAUCCUUGUUUAAUACUCAAUUCUGUAUUGAGUUACUCUUGAUUUCUUCAAUCACAUUUUUUGUGGUUUUUCAAUUUUCAUCUUCUUUGAAGCAAUUGAAGCUCUGUUUUUUCUACUUUCCUCUUGAAUCAUGCCUCCUCGUGCAGUUCCGGUUGUAGUUCCACAAACUAACACCGAUUCCGUUUACUAUGUCCAUCCAAGUGAAGGACCAAAUUCUAUGACUGUCACUCCUCUUCUCACAGGCUCCAAUUAUCUCGCUUGGAGUCGUUCGAUGAAACGUGCGCUUGGUGCGAAGAACAAAUUCGCCUUCGUUGAUGGAUCCAUUCCGAUCCCUGAUCCUGAUGAUCUGAAUCGCAAUGCUUGGGAGCGCUGUAAUCAUCUCAUACACUCUUGGAUUUUGAAUUCUGUUUCUCUGCAAAUUGCACAAACAAUUGUUUUUCAUGAAUUCGCCAUUGAUGUUUGGAUUGAGCUUCAAGAGCGUUUUUCUAAAGUUGAUAGAAUUCGUAUCGCUUCUCUUCGCUCUUCCAUCAACAAUCUCAAACAAGGUGCUAAACCUGUACUUGACUAUUUCACAGAGAUGAAAUCUCUUUGGGAGGAGCUCAAUUCACAUCGUCUUAUGCCUAUGUGCACUUGUCUAUAUCCAUGCCGUUGUGAAUCUAUGCGCGCUGCUAGAGAAUUUCGCAUGGAGGAUCAAGUAAUUCAGUUUCUCACUGGCUUGAAUGAUACUUUCUCAGUUGUGAAGACUCAAGUUCUUCUUAUGGAUCCACUUCCUUCAAUCAACAAGGUUUAUUCUAUGGUUGUUCAAGAAGAAAGUAAUAAUACUGCACUUACUCCAGUUUCUAGUGAAGAUUCUAGUAUACUUGUGAAUGCAUCAGAUGCUAGAAAGUUCUAUGGACGUGGUAAACCUUCUUCAGGACCACCUCAAUCUAAGAACAAUUCCAUAUAUUGCACUUUUUGCCAUAGGAACAAUCACACAGUGGAUUUUUGUUACAUGAAGCACGAUUAUCCCAAUGCAAAUAAGCCUCAUGCUUCUUCAAAUGCUGUUGUUAAUGAAGGCAUUCCUGAUUCUCAGAAAGAUGGUGAAGGAUCUUCCAUUAUCUCUCAAACUGGUCUUACUCAAGAGCAAUAUGGUCAUCUGGUUGCUUUACUUCAGCAAUCAUCUUUGGUUCCUCAAGCAUCUGCCUCAAGUCCUGCUAGCACCAAUCAUAUUACUUCUUCUAUUCCAUCUUUCCCCUCAGGUAUAAAUACUGUUAUCUCUUGUUCUAUACAUACUCAAAAUAAUCAUUGGAUUGUUGAUUCAGGGGCUAAUGAGCAUAUUUGCUCCUCUUUGCAUUUGCUUCAUUCCUUUCAUAAGAUUAAACCUAUGCAUGUUACUUUACCUAAUGGUUCCACUGUGAUUGUUCACUAUGCUGGCACUGCUGUUUUUUCACCUUUUUUCCAUAUUACUAAUGUCUUAUAUUCACCUCAUUUCAGAGUUAACCUAAUUUCUGUUUCCAAACUUUGCACUAUUUUGUCUUACCAAGUCAAUUUUUUGCCUGAUAAAUGUCUGAUACAGGAUAUGAAAUCCCAGAAGAUGAUUGGUUUGGGUAAUAUUUGUGAUGGUCUCUAUAAGCUGAAUACUGCUUCAUGCAAUCAGAAGUCUUUUGUUUCUUCUUCCACAAGUCUUUGUGCUCCAGUUUCUUUGAACUCUUGUAAUUCUGUUUGUUCUAGUGUAGCUAUUUCCUUUAUUCCUUCCAAUGCUAUUUAGCACUUUAGAUUAGGACAUUUGUCAAAUCAAAGAUUGUCCAAAAUGCAUAAUUUGUAUCCCUCUAUUUCUGUUGAUAAUAAAGCUACUUGUGACAUAUGUCAUUUUGCUAAGCAAAGAAAAUUACCUUAUCAUUCCAGUCAAUCUAUUGCUAGUUCUAAAUUUGAACUUUUACACCUUGAUAUUUGGGGUCCUUUAGCUCAAACAUCUGUUGAUGGCCACAAGUAUUUCCUCACUAUAGUUGAUGAUUUUAGUAUAUUCUUAUGGGUCAUUUUACUUAAAACCAAAGCAAAAGUUUCUUUGCAUGUUAAAAAUACUUGAUCCAUAAUCAUCAUCAUGUUACCCCAAAAUUCAUAAGGACUGAUAAUGGUCCUGAAUUCUUUUUACCUGAUUUUUAUGCUUCAAAAGGCAUCAUUCAUCAAAGAGCUUGUGUAGAAACACCUGAACAAAAUGCUAGAGUAGAGAGAAAACACCGACACAUUCUCAAUGUUGCUAGAGCUUUGUUGUUUCAAUCCAAACUUCCCAAUGUUUUCUGGUCAUAUGCUGUUUUGCAUUCAGUUUUUCUCAUAAAUAGAGUUUCAACUCCUCUUCUCAAACAUAAAUCUCCCUAUCAUGUUUUAUAUGAUUCAUUGCUUGAUAUUCAUUCUUUUAAAGUUUUUGGUUGCCUUUGUUAUGCUUCUACACUUCAAGCUCAUAUAACAAAAUUACAAUCUAGAGCCAGAAAGUGUAUUUUCUUAGGUUACAAGUCUGGAUUCAAAGGCUCAAUUGUUUUUGAUUUACAUUCCAGAGAAAUCUUUGUUUCCAGAAAUGUUGUUUUUCAUGAAUUGAUAUUACCUUACAAUUCAUCAUCAUCCUCUUCUUCCACUAAAGAUUGGCAGUAUUUUCCUACUCCUUCCACUCAUUUUUCUAAUUUUGAGGAUCCUGACUUUUCACAAUCACCACCUUUUAUCACACCACCUGCACUCCCCACUCCUUCACAACCUACAUCAUCACCUCCCAAUGUCUCUAUACCUAUUAGAACUUCCAUCAGGAAUAAAGUUACACCUGCAUAUCUACAUGACUACAUUUACAAUGCAUCUGUCAUUUCUUCUGCUAAUAACAGUACCAGUCAAUACCCCCUUUCCAAUUUUGUUUCACAUGCUCAUUUAUCUAACACUCAUUCUGCUUUCGCUAUGUCUCUUGUUUCUUAUACUGAACCAAAAUCCUAUGAUGAGGUAAUCAAACAUGACUAUUGGAAACAAGCAAUGCAGACUGAACUUAAUGCUCUUGAACAGACUGGCACUUGGAAGAUAGUGGAUCUCCCUUCAUCUGUCAAACCUAUAGGGUGCAGAUGGGUUUAUAAAGUGAAGCAUAAUGCAGAUGGCUCUAUUGAGAGAUACAAAGCACGUUUAGUUGCUAAGGGAUAUAAUCAGAUUGAAGGCCUUGACUAUUUUGAUACUUUUUCACCCGUUGCUAAGGUUACAACUGUGAGAUUAGUUAUAGCUUUGGCUUCAAUCAAUCACUGGUUUUUGCAUCAGCUAGAUGUAAACAAUGCUUUCCUUCAUGGAGAGCUUCAUGAAGAUGUUUACAUGAUUGUGCCUCCAGGUGUUGUUCCUUCAAAGCCAAAUCAAGUUUGCAAAUUGUCCAAAUCUCUCUAUGGCCUCAAGCAGGCUAGUAGAAAAUGGUAUGAAAAGUUGACUAGCCUGCUCAUCAACAAUCAAUAUAUACAAGCUACUUCUGACGCUUCCUUGUUUACUAAGACAACUUCUGAUAGUUUUACUACACUACUUGUUUAUGUUGAUGAUAUAAUCCUUGCUGGAAAUUCUCUCACUGAAAUUACUUUCAUCAAGAAUGUUUUACAUCAAGCCUUCAAAAUCAAAGACCUCGGUACUUUGAAAUAUUUUCUAGGUCUUGAAGUUGCACACUCCAAAAGUGGAAUCUCUCUUUGCCAAAGGAAGUAUUGUCUGGAUUUGUUACAAGAUUCAGGUUUACUUGGCUCAAAGCCUGUUACCACACCUUCAGAUCCAUCCAUUAAGCUGCACAAUGACACUUCACCACUCUUCACUGAUGUCUCUGCUUACAGAAGAUUGGUUGGGAGAUUGAUCUAUCUCAACACAACUAGGCCUGACAUUACAUUCAUAACUCAACAGCUCAGUCAAUUUUUGAGUAAACCAACACACACUCAUUACAAUGCUGCUCUAAGAGUUCUUAAAUAUCUUAAAGGCUCUCCAGGUCGUGGCAUUUUCUUUCCUAGAGCUUCAGGAUUACACAUUCAAGGUUACACAGAUGCUGAUUGGGCAGGGUGUAAGGAUACUAGGCGUUCGAUUUCAGGCCAUUGUUUCUUUUUAGGACAAUCCCUUAUAUCUUGGAGAACCAAAAAGCAGCCUACUGUAUCUAAAUCUUCUUCAGAAGCUGAGUAUAGGGUAAUGGCAUCAGCAACCUGUGAACUUCAAUGGCUUUUAUACUUGUUGAGAGAUCUCCACAUUGAUUGUGUUAAGCUUCCUGUCCUAUAUUGUGACAAUCAAAGCACCAUGCAUAUUGCAGCUAAUCCUGUCUUUCAUGAGCGCACAAAACAUCUUGAAAUAGAUUGCCACAUUGUGAGGGAGAAACUUCAAGCUGGACUGUUCAAGCUCCUGCCAGUUACAACACAUGACCAACUUGCAGAUUUUUUUACAAAGUCUCUGUUCCCACAGCCUUUUAACAUUUUACUUUCCAAGUUGGGGUUGCUAGACAUCUACCAACCUCCAUCUUGUGGGGGGCUAUUACAUAAUACAAAAUCUGAAGAAACAAAGCAUGAAGAAAAUGCAGUACAAGCUACUUAAAAUGUAGUACAAUAGCUUAAGUAUAGUAGUACAUUCACAUAUAAGAUAGUACAAUUCAUUUGUAUAAAUAACUGGAUGUACAGUACUCUUUUUAAUCUUCAAUGAAUCAGUUUUUAUCUUUCUUUGAUUCUUAAUAAAUAUUAUAGAUUUUUAAUAUUAUUAUGAAAGUGCUUAAAUUAAGAUGAGAAAAAUAACAUAUAUAAUGAUUAAAAAUAUAUAUAUGAAUGCAACACACUUAAAAAAAGGCUAUAUAUAGUGUUAAUUUAUCUGUGUUUCAGAUGAUUUAUUUUCAAUUUUGCAAAAAAGAUAGAUAGGUCAAUAUAGAGAUUAGAUUUAGUUGAUUUAAUUCAGUUUACAUUCUAACAAAAAAAAACUGAACCGCUUUAAAAUUUGUGUUGAUGUUGUUUGAAUCUGUUUCUGGCUUAAAAGUUAACUUCCAUAAGAGCAUGUUAUAUGGGGUCAAUAUCUCUUAUUCUUGGUUGCACGAGGCGGCGUUAGUGUUGCCAUGUAAACAUGGUAGGCUUCCUUUCUUGUAUUUGGGGCUGCCUAUUGGCGGUGAUCUAAGGAAGAUUGUUUUUUGGUACCCUUUGGUUGAUCGGAUUAAAAGAAGGUUGUCUGGUUGGAAGAGUCGUAAUCUAUCUACAGGGGUCGUUUGAUUUUGUUUAAGUUUGUCAUGUCCUCCAUUCCGGUUUACUUUCUUUCCUUCUUCAAGGCCCCUCAGGGAGCUGUAAUCUAUCCAUGUCCUUCAUGGGGGUCAUUUGAUUUUGCUUAACACCUAUUUUGAUAUUCCUUUUCCGUUCUCUCUCAUCACCAUCUCUCUCCACUAUCGUUCUUUCCAUUCACCAAUUCCGUUCAUCACGUCGAAUCAUCUAUGGGUUCUUGGCUUUGAUUAUCCCCUAAUUCUCAUCUUAGGGUUAAUGGUAUCAAAGAAUAUUUUCUCCAUUCAUAUUGCGUUCAUCGUGAUUUGCGAAAAUUUCAUCUGUUUACUAAUCUCGGUAAUGUGAUUCACCUUCAUUGAUGCUUCUUCAUGGUAACUGAGCUUUGAAUUUUGCUAAGGUUUUGUUUCAAUUUGUUCUUCUUGUUUUUUAUACACAGUGAUAUUGUGAGAUUAUUAAAUUUGAUAAUUCUGAUGCUUUUCUUGGUGUUAUUGUAUUGGGUUUGAAGUGUUUGAUGAUUUUACUCAAUAAAAUUUGACUCUGUUUCGCAAUUGUUUGCCUAAUUUGACUUUAACAUUGUGUUGCCUAUGAAGUGUUUGAUAAUUUGAUUAAUGAAAUUUGACUCUCUAAUCGUGAGUAUCUCCAUAGAAAUCUGUUGCAAUUUGUGUUUAGUUAUCUUAAUAUUUUAUGGCAAUGAUAUUAAUGAGAAAUUGGGAUUGAAUUUUAUUGAUUGUGUUAUUGAACUCAAACUCUAACAUAUUCUUAUUUCAUAAUUAGAGGUACAUUUCUAUGAUUUAUGAGCUCAGCCUUUGAGAUUUUUGGCUUGGUUAUUUGUUAAUUUAUUAGUAUCUUUAAUCAAUAGUUAGGCAUGUGCUCACUUUGAUGAAUUUAUGAGUUUCUUUCAGAUUGUUUAAUUUAUAAUGAAUUUACAUGGGAGAUAGUCUUGUGUAGACACAAGUGUUUAGGCAUAAAAAAUUUAGAUAUGAUCAAGUAGUGGAAUCAAGAGAUAGAAUUAAGAAGGUAUGUUGUACCAAAAAGAAGAAUAAUAAUUAAGAAGGUAUGAAUAUAUUUAUAGAUAAGUAAAUUACAUGUUCUUUAAUGUUUUGUUCUCGCGCUCCUAUAAUUUUUAAAAAUUUCGUACAUGUUGUGGUGGUAUGAAUAUAUUUAUAGAUAACAAAAUUACAAGCACUUUAAUUUAUUUAUUUUUAGGGAAAAAAAAAAAAUCAAAGUGCUUGAAAUUUACUUGUUGUACUUUCUUAUUCUUGACAGAGAAAAUAGGGCCAAGGAAACUUAUGGAACAAAAUUUGCUUUAAUUGCACCUAAAAUUGUUAGCUAGCCUACAAAUUAGCUACAAGUUAGCUACUUGGUAAGUAACAUUUUUUAGGUGUUACAUGUAAUACCCUCAAGUGUUACUUAAAUCAUUUAGUAACAUAGGCUUUACCUAACAUUUAUCAAAUGUUACAAAAUUUAAAUAGUAACAUUUAUUUUUGAUUUAGUUACAAUUUUAAUGUGUUACUAAAUCUCAUAUAUGUUGCAGUGUAAUAGUACAUUUCCAAAUCAUCAAUUUGAAUAGUUCUAACACAAGAUGCACAUUGUUGCCUCCAAAUUAAUUUAAAUUAACCGACAUGAUUAAAAAAAUAGAAUAAGAUUUUUUUUUGUUACAAAAAAAUAGAAUAAGAUUGCUUUACCAAUCAGCUUAAAUAAUUUAGUAUUUUUAUAAUGUGGGGAGGCAGACUUUCCCAAACUUAAUAUGCACACAAACUAACUUCAAAAUCUGACAUUCAUUUCCAACAAAAAUACCAUAAUAAUUCAAAAUUCAUUUCAUUGAAAUUCCAAUUUCAUCAAAUUACAGCAUUCUUUAAUUUUUACAAAAUAAAUAAUAAUAAAAAAAAAAUCAUGAUGCUUGCCUAAUUACAAGACAUGAUUUUUACUAUUAACAUUGCUAAAGCUCUUAAAAUAUUGCAGCUUUAAGCCUCCUUCCAAGCUCUCUUCUGUACAAAAAGUAAAAUAAAAAUCACUAUGAGAAAAACAUAAAAUAAAAUUUUUUCAUGUCACAAAAUAAUUAAAAAGUUAAUGAAUGAUUUUUAUUUUUGUUACCUUAUGAGUUGCCUAUCAAAUCCAGAAGCAGCCAAAAGGCCUCUAUUUUCUUCAGCUCUUCUCAAUAGAUAAGGCAUAACCAUCUCAACUGGUCCAAAUGGCAUAUACUUGCUUACUCUAAAUCCAGCUUUGCUCAAACCAAAUGAAAGUGCAUCUGACAUUCCACAUAGUUGUGCAAAUUCAAGCUUAUGGUUCACUUUUCCAAUCCCAAUUUCAUAUGCUUUUGCUGCUGCCAAUUUCCCUACACAACAAAAAAAUCAAUACAUUUUAGAUACAUUAAUUGAAAUCUUGGUUAUUCUAGUAUUUUAUUGUUACAUGUAGCGCACAUAUAUAUUUCAUAUUUAAGGCAUGUCUGGUUGAUCGAUGUGGGUCAAUGACUGAUACCGACAUAUAUUGUUACAUUUAUUCGCAUACAUUUUCUUGAAAUAUUUCCAAUGUCUACGUAUCGGUGUCAAUAUCAUAUAUGUUGUCUAUGUAUGCGUCAAUGCUACAUACCAUUCAAUUUAAAGAUUGACACUUCAUAUUAAUGGGUCUGAUGUCUGACAUGCGACAACACCGACACAUAUGAUUACAUUUUCUUAAAAUAUUAUCAAUGUCCGACAUGCGACGACAUAGACACAUAUGAUUACAUUUUCUUAAAAUAUUAUCAGUGUAAAUAUUAUUUUAGGUGUUCAUGUAUGUUUCCGUGCUUCAUACAUUAUUCUAUAAAGUCUAAAAAAUAUGAUAUUGAAAAGAAAAAAAAAACCUAAUGAAUUAAAUAUCUAAUAAGUACCUGAUUCAAUGUUGUGUGUAGCAAGAACAACAGAUCCUUUUCCAUUAGCAAACUUCUCAAGCAAAUAAGAUGAACAAUCAUUGAAGCAAUUAUGUGUAUCUUUAAUAGUAUCAUGAAUUGGUGACUUAGACCCAAAAGAUUCAGCCAAUGUACUUUCUGUUGACAUAUAAGCACCUCUAACCAAUUUAAAUCCCAUAGGAAUUCCAAUUUUUUCAGCAGCUUUUGUUGCAAGAAACAAUCUCUCCUUAGCAUCUUUCAAAUAAGUUUGAAUUGUUCCAAACACAAUAGGAUUAUCAUCUUUAUUAUGCAUAAUUGCUGAAGAGUAUGUGAAGUAAUCAAUAGCUGGUUGAACAGUAGUGUGUUCAGCAUCAACCAAUAUUGGCAUGUUUGCUUCAACACAUUUUUUACAAAGUUGUUGUAAUCUUUGGUUUGCUAGUUGAAAAUCACUUUCUUCUUGUGGUGUUAAUGGUUCUGGUUUUUUUGUAGUUUGGUAUAAUGGACUUGAUUCAGAGAAAAUUGGUAGAGAAUCUUGUUUCCAUGGUAAAUUGAAUGAAGGGUCUUUUUGUUGCCAUCUUAGAAGAUCACUUAUUCUUUCUAGUAAUGCCAUUGGACAUAUUGCAGUGAUUUUCACAAUCACAAAACUCACCUAUCACAUAAAAAAUAAAUAUAUUAGAAAAUUGAAUUGCGUGUAGUCGGAAAUUUGACUCAUCCAUACGGUCAACACAUUCAUAAUAGUUCAAUCUUGAUCCAACAACUACAGAUAUGUUGUUUGCAUGAAUCCACCAAAUGCAAAAAAUUCUAGUUCUUCACAUAGUGUACCAAUUUAGAAUUAACAUUUUGGAAAUGAAAUAUAGUUAGAAAUGGUAAAAAUCCAAACUACUAAUGAACCCUUUUGUCCAAAAUACCACAAUCAAAUUUCUAAACACUAGUUUCUAAUUUUUGUUACAAUACCAACCACAUUGUACAUCAGCUAGGUGAGAGUGGGACCAAGAUUAUAUAUAUAUAUAUGUAAUAUAUGAAUACAAACAUUUAUGAUGGAAAUGAAAUAAUGAAAAUUCUUGUUAGAAAUGGUAAAAAUUCAAACUAGUACUUAAACCAUUUUGUCUAAAUCAGUAACAAUAAACUCUAAACACUACUUUCCAAUUUUGAUGACAGAAUGCCAACCACAUUGUACUUCAACUUGGUGGGGGACCAAAAUAUAUUAUUUAUUAAUUCAAACAUUAUGAUGAAAAUUAAAAUAAUAAACCUCUAAUUAGAAAUGGUGAAAAUCCAAAUUUAGUUAUCAACCCUUUGUCCAAAAAUACCAAACUUAAAUUUCUAAACACUAGAUGCCAACAAUAUAUGACUUAAUGUCUAUGAAGCACGAACACUCCUCGAAGGCAUGUCUCGGUGCCCGACAUCUACACUUAUCGUGUUCGACAUCAACACGGCAUCAACACAUGUAAUUACAAUGAAUUAUGUAAUUUUUUCAAAUUAUUAAUUAUGUCGGCAUAUCAAUGUCCAUGUAAUAUCCGGUAUUCAUAUCCGUACUUCAUAUAGCUCAAUGUCAGGCCAACCACAUUGUCCUUAAGUUAGGUAGGACCAACAAAAUAUAAUAUGAGACAAAAUAUUCACUGUCACAAGAUUUCAAAGAAAAAAAGCACAAAAAUGUUUACAUGAGAGCAUGACUUGAACUGGCAUAUCAAGUUGCUUACUUGGUGAUAUUAAUACAUGCAAUGUGACACUUGUUGCCAACUCAAUUCAUACUCAUCACAAAAAGUAGCAAUUCAAUUCAACACACGCCUCACAAUAAAAACACACACGUUCACUUUUCAAAGUCAAGGACCACAUCCCACAACUAAACCAUGAGGCACAAUAUGUCUAAUUUAAUUUAAUAAAAAAAAUCAUUAAAAUAUUAGUUUAAUUUAAUAAUACAAAGUAGUUAAUGGCCUUCUAAUCUUCUAUUUCUGAAAGGGAUUGGAGAAACUUCAUUCACCUAUACUUGUUUAAAUAUAACAGGUGCCUUAUGUUUUUCUAGACAUGCUAAAAUAUCAUUAUAAAAAAUGAAAAAGUAAAUAUGAUUAGAGAUCCUCCCAUAUUAUUAUUAUUAUUAUGGUGCAAAUGAGGGAAGAGAUCCACUUAUAUUAAAACACGUUUUAAAAAAUAUUGGGUAUUCAUAAAUAGAAAGAUCAUCUUCGAUCUUUAUUUAAAGAAAUAAAGAAUCCCAUUAUUAUGAGUUUAAUUGUAUGAUUAAUGUCUACUUAAUUAUAUCACUAAUUUUAGGAAUAUGUCACUUAAUAUAUUCUAAAAAGAAUAAACAAAAUCCAAUUUUGUUUUUAAAAAAUAGAGAAAAUUCAAACAGAAAAAGUAUUUGUUGAAUGUAUAUGAUGAUGAUCCACAGAAACUACUUAAUGCUAUUUCCACGCUACAUUAUACGACCAAAUUAAUUUGACCAAAAACCUCUUUUCUUUAAAUAAAAACAAACAAAUCUUUAAUUAAUCUAAACAGAUCUUAACCAAUUUAUUUUACCAUGAUCAUAAAAAAUUAAUCAAAAAAUAAGUCAAGAUAAAAUUAGAAACUUACAGAAGAAGGAGGAAGUGAUUUGCUAACAUCAACAGUAUGAAGAAACCCUUUAAGAUUACGAUCACAACCAUCAUUCUCAUGUGCAUCUUCAACACCAAAAACAAGCAUGCCACGUAAGCCAGCUUCAUUAACAGACCUUAUACUCUUUCCAGCAGUAAUAGCAUCUUCUCCAGCACAAAAAUGUUCAUAGAAUGUUCUCUUUGUAACUGCCAUAACUGCAUCUUUCAAUAUUCCCGUUUGUAACAAUUUUGAUUGCAUAGCCCAUAUUCCAACGUCCACUACAGGUCCUAUAGCCGUUGCAUGCAGAACGGCUGAGGAUCUUAUCAGCGUGGACGUUGGAACAGCUGAGAAUAAUCUCUCACCGUCGUUUAGGUCAAGAUAAGAUGGUUGUUGGUGUGACGGUUGUGGUGGAGAAGGUUGUUCUCUUUCGAGAAGGGAAGCGACGGCGGCGGUGGCCGAAGGAUGGGAGGAGUUUAAUGGUUUUGUGGUGGUUUUGAAACGGAGAUUCUUGAUGAUCUUUUGUGGGACCACACGAGUUGCCAUUCAAUAACAAGAAAAUUUG
rnacentral:lncRNA from 1 species